rnacentral:rRNA from 1 species
CCCUUAGAUGUUCUGGGCAGCACGCGCGCUACAAUGGUCUUCGCAAACGGAUGCAUUCUCGAAGGAGAAUGCCAAUCUUGGAAUCUAUGCCUUGGUCGGGACAGUUGCUUGCAAUUUUUCGACUCGAACCAGGAAUUCCUUGUAAUCGUGAUUCAUCACAUCACGAUGAAUACGUCCCUGCCCUUUGUACACACCGCCCGUCGCUCCUACCGAUCGAAGAGUUAGGUGAAUUGUUUUGAUCGAUAAGAGUUGACUAUGGUCAACUCUCGUUGUGAAAUUCUGUGAAUCUGACUGUUUAGAGGAAGGAAAAGUCGUAACA